AUUGUGCAGAACAUGACGCCGCCAAACGCAAAGCUUUGGUUUCAAUGCUCAUGUAUGAGAUGGGCGGUAUACAGGUAGGAGAAGAAUGGGACGGGCGGUAUACAGGUAGGAGAGGAAUGGGACGGGCGGUAUACAGGUGAUACUCAAAAAAUUUGAAUAUCGUGCAAAAGUUCAUUUAUUUCAGUAAUGCAACGUAAAAUGGGAAAUAUAUGAGAGACGCAUUACAUGCAAAGCAAGAUGGUUAAAGCCGUGAUUUGUCAUAAGUGCGAUGAUCAUGAUUUACAGCUCAUGAAAACCCCAAAUCCACAAUCUCAGUAAAUUAGAAUAUUACAUGCAAUCAAUAAAACAAGGAGUGUACAUAGAACAAUAUCG